rnacentral:tRNA from 1 species
GCCACGAGGUGAUGUACACGUCAGAUUGCAAGUCUGAAGAAGCAGCCUAAACUGCUGCCGGGGCUU